UGGGGAAUAUUGCACAAUGGGGGAAACCCUGAUGCAGCGACGCCGCGUGAGCGAUGAAGUAUUUCGGUAUGUAAAGCUCUAUCAGCAGGGAAGAAAAUGACGGUACCUGACUAAGAAGCCCCGGCUAACUACGUGCCAGCAGCCGCG
rnacentral:rRNA from 1 species